AUCUAAAUUAAAUCUUUUUUAAAGUUAUUUUUCUUUAAUUGAAGAAAUCUGUUGAGAAUUGGUCGACAGGCAAUUUAAAAUAAAAAAGUCUAAGAAAGCAUUUUAUUUUAAAUAGCCAUAGCAUAGUUUGUGAUGAUUUGAGAUGGAAUAUUAAAGCGUUAAACACAUAUUUGAUACAUACUAUUUCCACUUUGUGACCAAGAUACACAGCGCUGCUACAACUGGAAUUGUUGAGAAGAUGGAAACCAAAAUCCCGAAUGGCCUCUCGUUCUGAAGAUCUAAAUGUAAAAGAGCUGUGGUCCAGCGUACAGCGCACCUGAACCUCGUACACAACCCCAGGAUGGAUGCUGUACAGGCUGAAACCUGUCUGUGUACCCGAAGUGUAAUUCUAGAGAGAAAAACAUCCACUUUUUACCUGUGCUGGUAUUUAAUGGUGACCCAGCCGGACCUGGUCACGGUGUUGGAGGGACGCUUCCAUCUGAUGUGGAGAUAUGGGCUCUCCUGUUUCUCCUCCACCACCAGAGUCACGUUUUCAGGAGCGUAGGGUCGAACUGUGGAGCACAGACACAACAGGACUCAUAAGCUCUGCUGUGGGGAUUUGAGCUAAACGUCAGCAGACCAACAUGCUCACGGCGACAUUUAACAGCUCCUGUCUCUUGAAGACCCCGCUACUUGGAAAGUCAAGUCUGCUCUGAUUGGUCAGCUGGCCUGAGGAAAGUGAGGAAAUGUUGCUUCUGCUUUGGAUGUAGCUCUAGGUGAAGUGGCUCUAGCGAGGUAAUAAUGUUGGACUGCCAGGGAGCUAGAUAUGCAAAUGCGUUACACAGUGAUGUAGAUAAAUUACAGAAGAAAAGCCUGAAUGUCAAAUGAGGUGUUUUAGGCAGAUAAGGGAAACAAAAGGGAUAUACCCAAAAAAGCAUAAUGUGAACUCUUUAUCUGAGAUCAGGGGAAAAACUCCCCCAACACCAACCGCCAUAAAACAAAACAAAAGGUCAAACCUAGCUCUCUGUGGUGCUUUUCCUGAUUAUUCAUAUUCUUAUUAGCAGAAACAAAAGCUAAAUCAAAAGCUUGAUUGAGGCUGUAUCUGUCGUUUCUGUUUCAUCUUGGAGGAUCCUGACAUCCAUUAGGGUUCAUCUCUGGGGAUCAUAAAUGCCUGUUUCAUCCCAUCCUAUAGUUGUUGAGGUAUUUUGGCUUUAGAGAAUCAACCGGCCAACGGACCAGCACUUCCACCUCUUUAAUCAUGAUUUAUUAACAUGAUGAGAGUUUCGGUCCAUAUGCAGAAACCCUUCACUAUUUUAAACAUCUGAUCUGGUAGUUUAGUGAUAGAUUCGAUUCCCUGGUGCCAAAACUACUGCAGUGGAGUCACUGUUUGCUAACGUGACAAGACUCAGAUAUGCAACUGUCUGCAUAACCAAUGAACACAAGAUAUGAAAUUUGAUCUAACACUGUACACAAGUUUUAUACAAGACACAAACCAGUUCCACCUCAUUCUGUCUGUGCCUCAGUACUUUUCCAUUCGUUACCGAGCUCAAGGAGGCAGCUGGGCCAGUAAAACUGCCACAAUCAUUACCUCAAUAUGUACAGAAAAAUGUCAGCUACAUUGACUCUCUACUUUAAUUUAGAUGGAUGUGAUCAUCAUGGUAGGUAGGUCAGUGGCUCAAAUAUGCUCCACUUUUGACUUCAUGGAUGAAAAAUGUAAUGUAAUUCAAAUUUACAUAAAUUUAUGUAAAUAGAGCAAGUGUAGUAAAAUAAACCACCUAAAUGUACACUUUUCAUCAUGGUACAAACACGAUCAAAGAUUUUUCUAGAGUUUUUCAUUCUUUCUGCCUGAAUGAGCUAUUUGGAGUCCCAGUUAAUCAUUGCCAAAACAUCCCCAUUAUAUCCACAGUGGUCAGUGCCAUAAAACAACAAUCCAUGAAGUCAAAGGGAGGUCAGCAGUUUUUAUAGAUGUACAGUCAGCAGCACAGCGAGGAGCAAAGAAAAAAAAAUCAGCUUAGUGGAUAUAGAAUGACUGAAAUUCCCCUUCACAUGAGACACUACAGGUGAAAACAUUAAAAUUUUUACUAAUAAAUAACAUCAUGAAACAUCAUUCAGUGAUUGAAAUUAAGACAGAUACUUUUUGUAUCACAAAUUUUCUGAAAUACAAGAUUUAAAUAUGCAAAUGAGGUAUUAUUUGCCUAAAUAUGCCAAUUUUAAUGCAUUUUCAUAACAGAAAUUUAAAUGUGAUAUAAAGCCGAAUUCAGAAUUUGUGUUUCAUUUUGUUGACAAAUGGAGACUUUGGAUGUCUGUUUUUAUCACUAUGAAAAAUAUUGUCAAAAGCCAGGAUAAAUAUAUAGUUUGCCACAUUUAUAGGCAUUGGGCUAUGAAUGCUAUAUGAACAAACCUCAACUUUUAUAAGAAAAAACAGGAAUAAAACUGAAAAGGUUAGUGCAGGUGGAGAUAUCUGGUUUAAAAGAGGAGAAAAAAAUCAUCCUUUAUAGAUAUAUAUUGGAACUGAAAUCUACAGAUGCAAAUAAAAAUAAAAUGUAGUAAAAUAAACAUCUAAAUGGGGUUUUUGUCAUUUGGUUGCACUAGUCUGAAAUAGGUUACAUUAUGGAAGCAUAAUAGCCCAAAAUGAUAAAAUUAAAAUGCUUGAAAAAACUUUUCAGACA